AGCCGAGGUCGCGGGCCGCAGUUCCGCAGAGGAAGGGGCCCAGUGUUAGGGCUCCGGGCCAGGGCGGGUGUUUGGGCAGAUCAGGGGCCGCUGGCACUCCCUAGCUUUCGGGGUGACUGCUGGGGUGGGGUCGGGGAAACGUGCUGAAUCCAGGCUGGGUGAACGUCAGUCGCGACGCAAGGUGAGGGGGGCUGAAGUGCUAUGCAGUAUGGAGCAGGCAGUGGCAGUCAGAAAAGGUUGGUGUCAUUCAGUUCUCGGAGUUGUUUCACAACAUCUUGUAUCAAGACUUUUUCAUAUUCAAAGUAACCAGGCUUUCCAGAGUAUUGAUGAGUCUGGACCUCUCAAAUCUUAGCCCAGCAACCCCGGACUAGUCCAAUCUUAGAAUUCACUGACCCUAAAGAAACUCACUAAUCCAGAGAAAUCGUUUCCAAGACCAGGAACAAGGAAUUUAAAGAAAUUCUUAAGUACAGCCCCGGCCUCCGACGACGACUAACAAAAAUCCACAGCAAAUAACAACACGUGCUAAACUGAAAGACUGUGCUGGCACCGAUCCUCAGUAUUUAGGGAAAAAAGGUUAGGAUUCUCUUUCAAAAAGCCACCGCCACCAUGGAUCAAGUCUCAAGCUCCACAUGCUGAAAGCAAAGGCAAGACGGCAGGCACGCCUGGGCCUAUUUGCAACCAAGGGCGAACCCAACUCAAGACGUUCUGCGCCUUCCUGGAAAGACCCUCCACGGAGGACUGGACCUUCACCCAGCCGGCCGGUUCCGCACAUACUCCGCCCUCGCGUCUCAUUCCGGGACUCUCCAAGACCUCCGCCAGAAGGCCGCCUGCCUCUCAAACUAGCUUGGGGGGGUCCCCCUGGUGUCACGAGCGUCAUAAACACACAAGCAAGCGGGCCAUGGUGCAAGCCACAGUCAGAUGGGGAGAAAGAGAGACAAAACGUCUCUGGUUCCGACGAUGGGGAAGGAUUCUCAAGAAGACGAGAAACAACUUACUCUGCGC